CUCUUUCAACAUUCUUAUUAAUUCUUAACACAGCAUUAAUGUUAUUGCCUAUGAUCUGGUUUGUGUUUGAACAAAGCAUAUGAACACGUAAUUAAAACAACAAUCUACGACUAUGUGGUAGAACAAAAAAUACAGUAUCCCCAUUGAAGGUUUCUUUGGCAGGUGUAAAUAGAGAUAUUAUGCGUUGAACGGGCAUGAACGUAGAAGGACCAAGAAUAACGUGACUGUGAGCGCACCAACAAACUUAUUUUUAUUGGGAUGAGGCUGAAACCAUGAAAUGUUGGCUAUUAAAUGCUCUUCCCAUUGUCCAUUUUGAUAAAUGCUGUGUUCUAGAAAAUGAUCAAUUCUGCCUGGCCAUUGUGUUUCCAGUUGUACUUCGCCUGUUGGCCCAGUCCAUUUGGCAGUGAUAUGACUCGAACGGUCGAGUGGGGAAAUUGCUGAUCCAAUCUUUACUCCUGCUAUUUCAACAGACUUCACAAUUGUGUACACCUCAGGAAUGACACAGUUUGGUGAUAUUGGACCUAGCAAUUUAGCAUACAUAUUUUUUAUAAACUGCAGUUCUGAGGGUGAGAAUGCAGAAGUUGUAUAUGUUGACCUUCUUAGGUAGUUUUUGCUUGUUUUUGACCAAAUGGAUAUGUCUGUUUGUGGAUUCUGCACAUAGGAGGUUUGGAGAUCUAAUAGACUGAUAAGUGAAGAUGACUCUAUUUGUGCAAUGGCAUUGGAUCCAACAUCAGCACAGCUUUGAUCUAAAAGCUCUCGCAACAAUGGCAACAUUUCUGCACGAAAAUCCAGUGGAAAGUCAGAGUCACAUACUGCAGAUGCCAUUGAGUCUCCCAAAGCUGAAUAACCAAAAAGAAUAUGUCGGACCAUAACUUAUGAUGGAAUUGCAAAGGUGGUAGUGCAAAUGCAUGUUUGGUGUUAAAGGCCUUUUGUACAGUCUGACAAUAUCUUGGCAAAACUCUUCAAGAAAAUGUUGAAUUUGUUCGAUAUCAUUGAUCGUGAUUAUUGUUGAGCAUAGCAAGCGACAGGCAUUGACAAACUUUAGCCAACAG